rnacentral:misc_RNA from 1 species
GAUGAAGAACGUAGCGAAAUGCGAUACUUGGUGUGAAUUGCAGAAUCCCGUGAACCAUCGAGUCUUUGAACGCAAGUUGCGCCCGAAGCCAUUAGGCCGAGGGCACGCCUGCCUGGGCGUCACACGUCGUUGCCCCCCCAUCUACUCCUUCGGGAUUGCGGGGGGCGGAUGAUGGCCUCCCGUGCGCCUCGUCGCGCGGUUGGCAUAAAUGCCAAGUCCUCGGCGACGCACGCCACGACAAUCGGUGGUUGCGAAACCUCGGUUGCCCGUCGUGUGCGGUCGUCGCGCAUCGAGGGCUCGAAAAAAUUGCCGGGCUCCGGCUCGGCUUUCAACGCGACCCCAGGUCAGGCGGGGUUACCCGCUGAAUUUAAGCAUAUCAAUAAGCAGGA